AGUGACACACAGUGACACCUAGUGGUGACCACAAUACUAUGCCGCUUCUGGCAAUGACCACUAGAGGGCGGUAAAUGGUCAAACACUGAUAUCAAGCUAAGCAUGGUAGUCGUGUCCGGAAACAUCCGGUAGAUACUUUCAAAACAAUAGAUUUAUAAUAAAACAAGUACUUUUCUGUAUUUCUGUAAUAAAUUUGAUUCGGUAAUACAUAGAGAUACUGAUGUAAUGUAUACAAAUUAUCUAUGUACUUAAUGUUACAACAGAAGUGAAACUCAUGAUGAUGUUUUAACGAUGACGCUAGAUUUUGACGCCCCCUUACAAAGGCUUUACGGUAAAAAAAAAAAAAAACCUGCUCACCUGUAUCAAGUUAGGACAUCGACAUUCGGUUUCCAAAAUAAAGCAAUAAUAAUGUGAGACUUUUAUGCAGUUGCUCCAAGUCCAGUUAUUAUGUCGUAUUGAUGUGAGUAUGUUCAUUAUUAUUUUUUUCAUUCAAAGAUAACGCGUACUCAGAGACUGGAUGUCAGCUUGAUUGGUUCACAAGCUUACUUUAAAAAUCGUUGUAAGGAGGCAUUACAAUUCAGCGUUGAUUACUGGUCAAAGCAACACACACACACACACUCCGGAAUUUUAACAUACAAGGAAAGCAGAUUGAAUUAACGCAUGCAUUUACAUUGCAGUAAAACGUAUGUACAUUUGCGCAGCACGGAACGGAUGUGCAAAGUGUGUGAGUGUUUAAAAUGAAUGCCUCAUAUUGUAGAUAAAGGCUCUUGGGCAGCAAUAUAAUCAUUCGAGCUUUUAUUUUUGAAAAAUGUAAGCGGAAGUUGUGUUGUCUGUUAUGGCCGUGUUACUUUUAAAGAAGUAACGGAACCGGGGCCGUGCCGGUACGGCAGGUUGCCAAAAAGUUGUUUUUUAGUCGGAACAAGGUUUUGCCUCCUGUGUUGCGGGUGUAAAGGUGUGUCAGACCAAUAGAAGAAGUAUAAUUAAAAUACACGUAAGCAAGAGAACAAUAGCAGAAGAAGACGUAGUAGAAGAAAAAGAAGGAGUCGUAGAACCGGAGAUUUAUUUCACCGUGCGUCAUGAUUUCUAAACACGGGCCGCCGCCGACUGACAGGGUAAACUUUUGGACCAAAACCGUCGCUGAGACGAACUGGAUUUUAAUGGAGACAGAAUAACGGGGUGAACGAAGACAUGAAUUUCGGAGUUCCCCCAGAUUCGCUGCUACUUUUCCGUGCCUGCGACGAGGGCGACUAUGAGACGGCCCGGGGAAUCCUCGAGCCUGGAGCUCCGAAAGAGUCGGGGCGCCAGAGCAGGCUGCGGUCAGAAGUGGGGUCGGAGUGCAGCGCCGCGGAUAUGUUGUCGCUAGUACCGGUGGACUGCACGGACGAGGAGGGCAAUACCGCCUUGCAGUUUGCCUCUGCCAGCGGGCACGAGAACCUGGUCCGGUUUCUGCUCCGGAAAGGAGCCUCGGUGGACAGCCGCAACAACUACGGUUGGACCCCGCUGAUGCAGGCUGCGAGGUUUGGUCACUUGACUGUUGCCCACAUCCUGCUGGAGAAUGGGGCAGAGAUUAACGGACGCAAUAGGCUGGGUGCGAGUGUCCUAACUAUGGCGGCUCGUGGUGGACACACUCAUGUAGUCAAACUACUCCUGGAGAGUGGUGCCUUUGUGGAUGACUACGAUCACCUGGCUGUCACAGCAGAUGCGGUCUCCAAUGGAAACAACAACAAUAGCUGCAGCACGGCUGGUUUUGGAGGUGGUGAGGUUUGUCCUGAAUUGGGCAGCAUCAGAGAGUUUAUGGACAUCACAGCUCUAAUAGUGGCGUCGCAGCAUGGCCAUGAGGCCAUAGUGCGCCUGCUGCUGGAGUGGGGCUCUGAUGUCAACUUUUCCCAGAAGACCACAGGCUGGGGACCACUGAUGGCAGCCACACUCAGUGGGAAGGUGGUUGUGGCUCAGCAGCUGGUGGAACGUGGAGCUGACCCAGACCGAGUCAACGUUCUGUCCAAGACGGCCUUUGAACUCGCCCUGCAGCUGAAACAGAGAGACAUCAAGGCCUAUCUGGACUCUAUCACCACAGUCCGACCGCAGACAGAUGAUGAAAGAAAAAGACCAGAUGUGUUCAGUGCCCUCAAGUUGGGAAAUUCCCAGCUUGUUAAAGAGAUCUUGGAGGAGGAUCCCACCCAGGUGAAUUCCUCCAAUCAAGAGGGAGCGUCACCUCUGAUGAUGGCAGCCGUGAGCGGCCAGUUAGAAGUGGUCCAGCUCAUGGUGGAGAAGAACGCAGACAUAGACAAACAAGAUGGCGUUCAUGGCUGGACUGCACUAAUGCAGGCUACCUAUCAUGGUAAUAAAGAUAUUGUUAAAUACCUGCUGGAUCAGGGAGCUGAUGUCAACCUUCGAGCUAAGAAUGGAUACACAGCGUUUGAUUUGGUUAUGUUGCUGAAUGACCCAGACACUGAGCUGGUGCGUCUGUUAGCGUCGGUGUGUAUGCAGGUAGAUAAGGACAAGUCAAAACACCGUGGCAGAGCAUUCAUGACUCGCUCCAAAAGUCGCCAGUCCCUCAACAACAUUCCUGUGCCACCUGAUGACAAGGGAGGCCUUAAGUCCUGGUGGAGUAGGAUGUCAAAUCGGUUUCGCCGGCUUAAGUUGACGCACACCCUGAGGCAAGGCCUCUCGUCCAAUCGCCUGGCCCCAUUCCCUGAUGAUGCUAAAACGUCACUGGAUGCCACAAUGAAGGCAAAUCGAAAGCCUGGUGCCGUGCCUAAUGGGGCGCUGGCACCGACGCCUCCACUGGGAGGGAGCGACGUUAACACGAGCUGGGCUGUCAAGACCAAAGAAGCUGGUGUUUGCAGGUCAUCGUCAGAAAAAGAAGACUUCCUCAUAACCACUUUGUUGAGAAGCGGUGCACCCUUGACCCGGCUUCCCAAUGACAAGCUGAAAGCAGUGAUUCCUCCCUUUCUGCCUCCAUCCAACUUUGAGCCAUGGAACUCGGACCGUUCGCGUCUCCUCAGGGAAGGGAAGAGUGAAGUGCCUCGUCUGCCCAUGCCGCCUCAGAGGAAACUCAACAGCAGUGGAAACUCUGACAUUACGUCCAUCAGUCGUGUGGUCAGCAGGUCCAUAAAAUUUCCCAGCAUUCCCAAGGGGCCGUCCUCCUCCUCUCCUUCUAAUUCUGGUCACUACCACUCCCCCCACUCUUCUGGUGGCUCCAAUGGAGUGGCGGGGGUCAACCGGGACUCUCACAACCGUUCAGGCGGCAGUGCAGACAGUGUUCUUUCCCAGAUAGCAGCCCAAAGGAAGAGAGCAGCUGGCUUAAUAGACGGGAAAGUCCAAGCUCCAGAGAAGCAGCACAGCCCGACACAGAGCCAACCCCAACCCUCUGUCCCAGCAUCCAGCCUGCCACUGCCUGAUAUCAGCCUCCCUGACAUCCACACCCACUCAAGUCUGGUCCACUCUGAAAUCCACUCAAGAAGGAAGAUGGAAUUGAAGAAGAGACCUCAGUCAGGGAACUCGUCCACCUCCAAGAGCACGUCGCCCACACUGACCCCGUCUCCUUCACCCACGCCAAAGGCUGCCACUGGGCCGGGGGACUCUCUGUCCUCAGCCUCCUCCCAUCCUCGCUCCAAGAGCAGUGGAGGCUCCAGCAGUGGGACCAUCACUGAUGAGGAUGAGCUGUCUGGUAUCUUGAAGAAACUGUCGCUGGAGAAAUACCAGCCCAUUUUUGAGGAACAGGAGGUGGACAUGGAGGCUUUUUUGACUCUUACGGAUGGAGACCUGAAGGAGCUGGGCAUUAAAACGGAUGGACCCAGACAACAGAUCUUGGCUGCCAUAUCAGAGCUCAAUGCUGGAAAGGGCAGAGAAAGGCAGAUUCUUCAAGAGACCAUCCAUAACUUCCAGUCAUCGUUUGGUAGCAGCGCCAGUAACACAAGACAACCAGGUGAACCACGCUCACCAACAGGUUGGAUGAGACACCAGGUUCGUUCCUCCAGCAAGAGGUAGCCAGUAGCCAUGAUGCUCAUCAGGGAGUUCACAAAAGUAGUCGUGUAGUGGGGACGUACCGUGGACACACUUAUCACUUGUGCCUGGAGGUCAUGACCUCAGUGAUGUAUGUACUGACACAGAGCUAAGACGAUCGCUGCGUUCCUAAUGUCCGCCAACAGAGAAAGCAGAACAACCCAUGUGGAAUGGAGCGGAUUCCAUCAGAUUACAGACAGAUUGAGGGGAAGCCAACCUCCCUCUGGCCUUUAUACUGACCAUGAAACAACCAUUGAAAAACCCUAAUUUAAAUGUUAACAAAUAAUUUUUUUGCUCUGAUACCAAAUCCACAUUUUCCUCCCUCAAAUUUGAUUGACAUUGACUAACUAAAGUAAUUUUGUGUCUGUUUAUAUUUUGAUUGCCACAGUUAUGUCACUUUUUGCUCUUCAUAUUUGACUUUUCUCCCCACAUUAAUGCUGCAAAAUGACAUGGUUAUUUGCAGGCACAGAGCUGUAGCUGUAGGUUGGGGUGACACAUGGCAGUGGUAAAUGACAAGUGCACUCUUUUGAAAUCCUAAUACUCAUAAGUUGAACUAAUAUGUAUUUAGAUACACUAUUGGAAAUAUCAGUAACUGAGAAUCACCAUGGAAACUCCAUCAGUGAGCAUUGCAUUCUAUUUUUCUAUGUGUCUUUUGAGUUUGUUGUCUAUUUUAAAACCUUGUGAGACCAAAGCUGAUUUGUUUGUUGUACCAUGACAAAAAUUGAUCUCUUCAUCCGUGGUUGGUAUCAAUCACUGGAUGCUUCACAUGCUUGUGUUGUUUGCAUACAUGUGUGCACGUGUACAGGUAUGCAUUCACACAUGUACUGUAUGCCUGCAGGGUAUUUCCAUCGAGUUGUGACCCGACAGGACCGUUUGAUCUGGUCUCUCCCAUUAACAGCUCUCUGCUGUCAUGGAUUACGCUGCUGCAGCUUCACAAAUCCUGACGAUGCCUUUUUUUGCUUUGCAACAGCACCAGUGUUGUCUUGUUUGAUGAGUUCAGGUUAAUCUCAUGGUGAGACUAAAUUUAGGCCGACAGCUUAGAUCACACCAUGUUUCCUGGAAUAGAAUUGUCACAUGUUGACAAGCUUGUGUCUUGUAAGACACAAAAGGUUUGCCCUAAAUGACAGAAGAAACGAGUGUGUGUUUGCUAGGCUCCGGUAUUGACCCUUCCAAUUAAUUAUGGAUGUCCAUUAGAAUCCAACUUGUCAUGUCAUGGCCCUGCAUGUCUCUUGAAAUCCCAUGAUGAUGCUAACGGAGACAUCUUAAUCAAUGAAAGCCACACUACUGCACCUGGCAGAUGGCCUUCACUGAGUGCUAUUUUGCUCCAUGGUUAUAAUUCUGAAAUGUGUUUUAAGCCACAUACGCACACACAUACCGUGGACACAGACAUGGACUGAUACACAAACACACACACACGUACGUGGUUUGCGUGCGAAGACCUCCCUCAGCAGUGUUAACAGCCCUUUAAGGCCGGGCUAAUCUGGAAGGCAGCUUGGGUUGUGUUGUCAGUGGAUUUACAUUGAUACCAAAGUAACUUAAAUCGCAGCCACUGACAGCGUUAAACAUGACCUUAGGACCUCCGCAGAUCCGUGACCCCACCUGUCACAACAUAUGAAACGUCCCUCCUGAUCGCACAACAGUAUGACCGAAAGCCAUCUGCUUAAUCUGAGGUGCAAUCCUACAGGGCUGCGUUAUGACACACACUACAUUUUUAAACAGUCUGAAUUGUCAUAACAACCUCUGGUAUAAGGCCAUAGUCUUGAUCCUCUCACACUUACUUCAAUAGCUCUAAUGAUUUUAAUGAUUGACCAGUAAUGACGAGAUAGCAAUCCCUUUGGCCAUUGGAAAUCUCCUCAGAUUACAGAUAAGACUAUUUCUGCUUAACAGAAAAAAAAAAAAGUGAAUGGAGACAAAUCACAGCGUCACAUACUGGGCAUGUGACAGGUUUUUAUCAAGUAUUAUUAAUUUAUCAAUAGAAAAACAACAGUCCUAUGUCACAAUACUGAAAUUACCGGAAGGGAAAGAUUACCUUGAGUAAAUAAUCAUGGCCAGAAUGGCCCUUGACAUGCUGUCACUUCUAUCAUUUUGAAUAGGGCUGCAUGAUAGUAGGUAAAAUAUGAUAUGAGAUAACAUUGUUGAAUAAUAAUAAGACUUGAGAUAAACUACUAUAAUACUCAUGCACUGUAUAGUGUGUUGUCCUAACUGGGUUGGGUUCACUGCUAACGUAAUUGCAAUUGUCCUCUGCCCACAAACUAGAUACAGUGUUAUGAGUGUUGCAGUAUGGGUGGGGAGUUUGACUUUAAGUUUGCUAGUAUUAGGAAAAACAUCUACCUUAAUGGCAAGGAACAAUCUACAUUUGUUCCCAACAGCCUUUGCAGGAUGUAUGUUUUGUGAAAAAGCAACAGCAAUACAUUUUGAAUGUUUGGUACAACUCUGAUUGUAAGUUUAAGUUACAUUGAUGUUUCCAUAAGUGUCCGUUUCAUCUUUGUUGUGUUCUUUGUUUUUGCCAUUUGCAAGCAGCUCUUUUAACCAACACCCAAUCCCAUUACUUCCUUUUUGCUCUGUGUGAGAGAUCACAUUAUCAUUCUCCUCUACAAUUUAUUUAAACAAGAAAAAUA